UACGUAGGGUGCAAGCGUUGUCCGGAAUUAUUGGGCGUAAAGAGCUCGUAGGCGGUCUGUCGCGUCUGCUGUGAAAACUCAGGGCUUAACCCUGAGCUUGCAGUGGGUACGGGCAGACUAGAGUGCGGUAGGGGAGACUGGAAUUCCUGGUGUAGCGGUGAAAUGCGCAGAUAUCAGGAGGGAACACCCGGUGGGCGAAGGCGGGUCUCUGGGCC
rnacentral:rRNA from 1 species